rnacentral:rRNA from 1 species
AUUGAACGCUGGCGGCAGGCCUAACACAUGCAAGUCGAACGAGUGGCGGACGGGUGAGUAAUGUCUGGGAAACUGCCCGAUGGAGGGGGAUAACUACUGGAAACGGUAGCUAAUACCGCAUACCAUCGGAUUUGCCCAGAUGGGAUUAGCUAGUGGGUGGGGUAACGGCUCACCUGGGCGACGAUCCCUAGCUGGUCUGAGAGGAUGACCAGCCAAACUGGAAUGGGGACACGGUCCAGACUCCUCCGGGAGGCGGCAGUGGGGAAUAUUGGACAAGGGGGGCAAGCCGGCUGCGGCCAUGCCGCGUGUAUGAAGAAGGCCUUCGGUUUGUAAAGUAUUUUCAGCGAGGAGGCGGUACUCGCAGAAGAAGCACCGGCUAACUACGUGCCAGCAGCCGCGGUAAUUC